GCGCAUGUGCUGUGAGCUCGAUGAGUAGGGCGGGACACGUGGUAUCCUGUCUGAAUAUGGGGGGACCAUCCUCCAAGGCUAAAUACUCCUGACUGACCGAUAGUGAACCAGUACCGUGAGGGAAAGGCGAAAAGAACCCCGGCGAGGGGAGUGAAAAAGAACCUGAAACCGUGUACGUACAAGCAGUGGGAGCACAGGUUUACCUGUGUGACUGCGUACCUUUUGUAUAAUGGGUCAGCGACUUAUAUUCUGUAGCAAGGUUAACCGUAUAGGGGAGCCGCAGGGAAACCGAGUCUUAACCGGGCGUUAAGUUGCAGGGUAUAGACCCGAAACCCGGUGAUCUAGCCAUGGGCAGGUUGAAGGUUGGGUAACACUAACUGGAGGACCGAACCGACUAAUGUUGAAAAAUUAGCGGAUGACCUGUGGCUGGGGGUGAAAGGCCAAUCAAACCGGGAGAUAGCUGGUUCUCCCCGAAAGCUAUUUAGGUAGCGCCUCGUGAAUUCAUCUCCGGGGGUAGAGCACUGUUUCGGCUAGGGGGCCAUCCCGGCUUACCAACCCGAUGCAAACUGCGAAUACCGGAGAAUGUUAUCACGGGAGACA
rnacentral:rRNA from 1 species